rnacentral:rRNA from 1 species
AGUCGAACGAACUCUUCGGAGUUAGUGGCGGACGGGUGAGUAACACGUGGGAACGUGCCUUUAGGUUCGGAAUAACUCAGGGAAACUUGUGCUAAUACCGAAUGUGCCCUUCGGGGGAAAGAUUUAUCGCCUUUAGAGCGGCCCGCGUCUGAUUAGCUAGUUGGUGAGGUAAAGGCUCACCAAGGCGACGAUCAGUAGCUGGUCUGAGAGGAUGAUCAGCCACAUUGGGACUGAGACACGGCCCAAACUCCUACGGGAGGCAGCAGUGGGGAAUCUUGCGCAAUGGGCGAAAGCCUGACGCAGCCAUGCCGCGUGAAUGAUGAAGGUCUUAGGAUUGUAAAAUUCUUUCACCGGGGACGAUAAUGACGGUACCCGGAGAAGAAGCCCCGGCUAACUUCGUGCCAGCAGCCGCGGUAAUACGAAGGGGGCUAGCGUUGCUCGGAAUUACUGGGCGUAAAGGGAGCGUAGGCGGACAUUUAAGUCAGGGGUGAAAUCCCGGGGCUCAACCUCGGAAUUGCCUUUGAUACUGGGUGUCUUGAGUAUGAGAGAGGUGUGUGGAACUCCGAGUGUAGAGGUGAAAUUCGUAGAUAUUCGGAAGAACACCAGUGGCGAAGGCGACACACUGGCUCAUUACUGACGCUGAGGCUCGAAAGCGUGGGGAGCAAACAGGAUUAGAUACCCUGGUAGUCCACGCCGUAAACGAUGAUUGCUAGUUGUCGGGAUGCAUGCAUUUCGGUGACGCAGCUAACGCAUUAAGCAAUCCGCCUGGGGAGUACGGUCGCAAGAUUAAAACUCAAAGGAAUUGACGGGGGCCCGCACAAGCGGUGGAGCAUGUGGUUU